CCCUUGCAUGGCGACUCUCCACCCGCUCGCUACUAACUUCCUCAUCUACCUGCUCGCCUAUUGCUGUGUUUACACGUGCUUGUACUUGUUGAUUUAUUUCUUUAGCAUCUUUGUAGAGGACUAGACAACCCAACUGGAUACAGGUCCCUCGGACAGGAAGUGCUUUUUUCAUCUCCCCAGAAAUGGAUGAGUUCUUUCAAGUGCUGUACACUGGAGAAAUCCAAAGGAUUCAACAGAUGAACACAUUUCAAAAAGCUACUACUAUUUUUUCUUAAGAAAUGCAUCAAGCAUCUGAUUUACUGCUGAUAAAUUCUCUGUGAAGAAACACGGGACCAGGACAGAAAAAGCGCUCUCUUUCAAUGUCCCGAUCCCCGUCAGGCCUGGUGGGAUGUUACAACCACCCUCUGAAGAAAGGUUUUGGAAAUAAACACUUGAAAGCCUGCCCA